CCCUUUGGCCUGGAGAACACCUAAACAGAGGGAAUUAAUAAAAAUUAGGGAGGUGGUGGGUUCUUAUUUUUGUUGUUUUCUAGCCCCCCCGUUAAGAUUUAUAGGGGGGUGGUGGGCGGGCCCCGUUAUCCCAUUUUAAAAAGGUAAAUUUUUUGGGUUGAUUGAAGACCUAACCUCGGGAAAAGCUUUUCCCAAAGGAAUUUUUUCCUUAAUCAGUGAACGAAUGUUAGGGGGUCGAAAGACGACCAGAAUCCCUCUGUAAUUUUAACCAAAAAACUAUCCGACUAGGGGAUCGGGGCGGGUUUUGUAUUUUGGCCCCCUUCGGCCCCCUUACGGAGAAAAUCAAAAGUUUUUUGGGUUCUGGGGGGGGAGUAUGGUUCCAAAGGCUGAAACUUAAAAGAAAAUUGGCGGGAAAGGGCCCCCCCCCGGGCGGGGGAGCCUGCCGGCUUUAAUUUUGCCUCAAACACGGGGGAAACUCCCCCAGGUCCAGACAACAAUAAGGAUUUGACAGAUUUGAGAGCUCUUUCUUGAUUUUGUGGGUGGUGGUGCAUGGCCCGUUCUUAGUUGGUGGAGUGAUUUGUCUGCUUUAAUUGCGAUAACGAACGAGACCUUAACCUGCUAAAUAGCCAGGCCCGCUUUGGCGGGUCGCCGGCUUCUUAGAGGGACUAUCCGCUCAAGCCGAUGGAAGUUUGAGGCAAUAACAGGUCUGUGAUGCCCUUAGAUGUUCUGGGCCGCACGCGCGCUACACUGACAGAGCCAACGAGUUCAUUUCCUUAGCCGAAAGGUUUGGGUAAUCUUGUUAAACUCUGUCGUGCUGGGGAUAGAGCAUUGCAAUUAUUGCUCUUCAACGAGGAAUGCCUAGUAAGCGCAUGUCAUCAGCAUGCGUUGAUUACGUCCCUGGCCUUUGUACACACCGCCCGUC
rnacentral:rRNA from 1 species